GACAGCAGCCAUAUCACCCUGCAACUCACAACUGGCAACCCACUGAAGCUCAGCAGGUGUGAGCCUGGUCAGUACCUGGAUAGGAGACCUCCUGGGAAAAACUAAGGUUGCUGCUGGAA
ensembl:rRNA 5S_rRNA 5S ribosomal RNA